UUGAUUCUGGCUCAGGUUGAACGCUGGCGGAUGCUUUACAUGCAAGUCGAACGGCAGCACGGACUUCGGUCUGGUGGCGAGUGGCGAACGGGUGAGUGCUAUGGACGUGCCUAAUCAGCGGGGGAUAACUUUAAAGAAAGCGUAGCUAAUACAGCACGCUGUGGGGAAGCGGGGACGCUGGGCCUCACUAUUAGAGCGGCCGAUAUCGGAUUAGCUAGUUAGUGGGGUAACGGCUCACCAAGCGUCGAUCCGUAGCUGGUUUGAAGGACGACCAGCCACACUGGGACUGAGACACGGCCCAGACUCCUAUACAGGAGGCAGCAGUGGGGAAUUUUGGACAAUGGGGGAAACCUGAUCCCAGCCAUCCCGCGUGGCCGAUGAAGGCCUUCGGGUUGUAAAGCACUUUUGGCAGGAAAGAAACGGCACAGGAUAAUGCCCCGUGCAACUGACGGCUACCUGCAGAAUGGCACCAGCUAACUACGUGCCAGCAGCCGCGGUAAUACGUGGGGUGCAAGCGUUAAUCGAAUUACUGGGCGUAAAGCGUGCGCGGGCGGUUCGGAAAGAAGAUGUGAAAUCCCAGAGCUUAACUUUGGAACUGCAUUUUUUGCUACCGAGCUAGAGUGUGUCAGAGGGAGUGGAAUUCCGCGUGUAGCAGUGAAAUGCGUAGAUAUGCGGGCACGAUAGCGAGGCAACCUCCUGGGAUAACACUGACGCUCAUGCACAGCGUGGGGGAGCAAACAGGAUUUAGAUACCCUGGUAGUCCACGCCCUAAACGAUGUCAACUAGCUGUUAGGGCCUUCGGCCUUGGUAGCGCAACUAACGCUGAAGUUGACCGCCUGGGGAGUACGGUCGCAAGAUUAAAACUCAAAAGGAAUUGACGGGGACCCGCACAAGCGGUGGAUGAUGUGGAUUAAUUCGAUACAGCAUGAAAAGGCACCACCUACACAUUUUAUGUGGAAUCCCGAAGAGAUUUGGGAGUGCUCGCAAGAGGAGAACCGGAACACAGGUGCUGCAUGGCUGUCGUGGCUCGUGUCGUGAGAUGUUGGGUUAAGUCCGCAACAGGCGCAACCCUUGUCAUUAGUUGCUACGAAAGGGCACUCUAAUGAGACUGCCGGUGACAAACCGGAGAGAGGUGAGAUGACGUCGUCCUCAUGGCUGUACUAUAGGUGGGCCCACACGUCAAUGUGGUCAGGACAGAGGGGUCGCCAACCCGCGAGGGGUCAAUCCCAGAAACCCGAUCGUAGUCCGGAUCGCAGUCUGCAACUCGACUGCGUGAAGUCGGAAUCGCUGUGUGCGGAUCAGCAUGUCGCGGUGAAUACGUUCCCGGGUCUUGUACACACCGCCCGUCACCAUGGGAGUGGGUUUUACCAGAAGUAGUUAGCUAACACGUGGGAGGGCGAUUACCACGGUAGGAUUCAUGACUGGGUGAGUCGUAACAAGGUAA
rnacentral:rRNA from 1 species